rnacentral:rRNA from 1 species
UACGAAGGGGGCUAGCGUUGCUCGGAAUCACUGGGCGUAAAGCGCACGUAGGCCGAUUGUUAAGUCAGGGGUGAAAUCCUGGAGCUCAACUCCAGAACUGCCUUUGAUACUGAGAAGCUUGAGUCCGGGAGAGGUGAGUGGAACUGCGAGUGUAGAGGUGAAAUUCGUAGAUAUUCGCAAGAACACCAGUGGCGAAGGCGGCUCACUGGCCCGGUACUGACGCUGAGGUGCGAAAGCGUGGGGAGCAAACAGGG